UACGUAGGGCGCAAGCGUUGUCCAGAAUUAUUGGGCGUAAAGAGCUCGUAGGCGGCCUGUUGCGUCCGCUGUGAAAUCCCGGGGCUCAACCCCGGGCCUGCAGUGGAUACGGGCUGGCUAGAGGCAGGCAGGGGAGAACGGAAUUCCUGGUGUAGCGGUGAAAUGCGCAGAUAUCAGGAAGAACACCCGUGGCUAAGGCGGCUCUCUAGUACGGUACUGACGCUGAGACGCGAAAGCGUGGGGAGCGAACAGG
rnacentral:rRNA from 1 species